rnacentral:rRNA from 1 species
GAUGAACGCUGGCGGCGUGCCUAAUACAUGCAAGUCGAGCGAACGGACGAGAAGCUUGCUUCUCUGAUGUUAGCGGCGGACGGGUGAGUAACACGUGGAUAACCUACCUAUAAGACUGGGAUAACUUCGGGAAACCGUAGCUAAUACCGGAUAAUAUUUUGAACCGCAUGGUUCAAAAGUGAAAGACGGUCUUGCUGUCACUUAUAGAUGGAUCCGCGCUGCAUUAGCUAGUUGGUAAGGUAACGGCUUACCAAGGAAACGAUGCAUAGCCGACCUGAGAGGGUGAUCGGCCACACUGGAGCUGAGACACGGUCCAGACUCCUACGGGAGGCAGCAGUAGGGAAUCUUACGCAAUGGGCGAAAGCCUGACGGAGCAACGCCGCGUGAGUGAUGAAGGUCUUCGGAUCGUAAAACUCUGUUAUUAGGGAAGAACAUAUGUGUAAGUAACUGUGCACAUCUUGACGGUACCUAAUCAGAAAGCCACGGCUAACUACGUG